CUUCAAGACCUCAUAACUUUUUUAAUUCUGCCUGAGGUCUAUAAUUUUGACUAAUGCAUCUUCGCAUAGGUCCCCGCCAUGCAACUAGGCUUAUGGUGCACGCUCGUCUCUAAAGGGAUAUAUAUUUUUCAAAAAAAAAAAAAAAAAUGCCAAGGACAAAGUUCAAACAAAUGACGAAUGAUGUGAAAGAGAAACCUACGAACAAAUGCGGUUUCCUCCGGAUGAAUGCAUUGACUAACUUAGGCCGGAUGUCCAGCGCGUUUGGACAUGCAGACGCGCGAUGAGUAACGGGUCUCCCGACGGGAUGAGAGAGGGCGGUCUGUGCUCAACGUCACAUGAACUAUAAAUAACAGCGCCACUUGCAGCCUGACAAAGUAACAUGGUUGCAUUAUCCGUACACAUGGCUCAAGCUGAGACGGUCGAGUUUGGCGUGGAGCAGGGACAGAUGCUGCAGGUCUUGAUGCGGCACUGCCAGACCAUGAAGCGUCAGGAGACACGACUGCGUCUGGCCACCGCGCUGCUGGUUGCAACAAUCUUCGCGACUUUGGUGUGGAUACAGUUUCACCAACAAAAUACUACGGAAGCAUUCUCAGGCGCUCGUCAAACGGCUUUGAAAACUACAGAUUCACCAAUAGGACACUCUGUUCAUCUUAAACCUUCAAGACAGAUAAAUGCUUGCUCAGAACCACAGUCCAUCGAGUGGGAGGCCGUGGAUGAUGGCUAUGAAUCCCAAAAUUUCGAGCUGAAAAACCAAACAGUUCUCCACAUCUCCACAGAGGGCCUGUACUUGAUCAAUCUGAGGAUCUCUUACCGUACAGCCUAUGGCCUGUGUGAGCCUGGUAAAGAUUUCGUUUUAGUGGUCAGGGUCACACAGUAUCAUAGAAACUAUGAAAGCGAGAGAGAGAUCAUAAGUGCUGAGGAGUCUAUGAUUUGUAGAGAUUAUUGGUUUCAGUCGAUCACUAUGAAUCGAGCAAUCAGGUUAGAAGCUGACACUAGUCUCCGGGUGAAAAUUAACCAGAAAAGUUGCACGUUUGUCAGCUGGACUAAAAACAGUCAUUUGGAUGUCACUUAUGUCUAGAGUUGUUUGUUUUUUUUGUUUUGUUUUUUUUAACUUCCCGAUGGCAUUAAUGCAUAUUUGAGAUUAGUUAGAAACAGCAUUAAGCAGGUGUUAAUUUUUUUUAAUGACCUAAGCUAUUUUUAAGGUGCUUUAAGAAAUAACAAAAUGUUUAACCACUUGGUUAAUAUAUUCAGGUUUAUUGAGAGGCUUACUCUCAUUCUUUAUGUUGAAACUGUUAUUAAAUAACAUGUACUAUCCACAAAAGAUGCAGAUUUUGAAUAUAGUUGUUAAGUGCUGUGACAGCCAAAUUGCACCAAAAUGUUGAUAGCAGGUGAAAUUAUGUGUGUGUUUUAUGUUAAAACUUUUUAAAUGUGCUUUUACGAACUGAUUCAUUAAGAGUUGUUUGUCAUUUGAUUUUAAAAAUCAGGUCUAUUAAAUUUAAAUUAGAACCCAUCCUGUUCAUUGUAUUUACCUCUAGGUGGCAGUUGCAUACAUAUGCAUUUCAGAAUGUAACAUGAUUUUGUGGUUCACUCAUAAAUCUGUAGACUUGUCUUGAAAUUCAAACAAAUAAUAUGUUAUUUCAAAUAACUGUUUCAAAGAUUCAAUUUAUAAAGCCACUGUCAAUGAUUUAAAUGUAUAUCUAGAAACAACAAUGCAAAAAAAAAAAAAAAAAAAAAACUUACAGAAUACACAAAACACCAUGUGUUUAUUUCAGGUCACUUUAAUUAGCUCACGAUUGCCUGUGUGUGUCUCCUUGAUUACUGGAUCAGGAAACAUGCUGCAUUUUCUCUGUACUGCAUGAAUAAAAAACUUGUAGUAUAAGAGAAUCAGUCUUUGUGUCUGCUUUUGUUCUUUGAAGAUGUUCUGAUAGACUGUUUAGCAUUGAACAGAGGCAGUCUGUAAUCUGACAGACCAAAAUCUCUUUGGAAUAGUGAUUUUGCUGAAUACAUGAACAGAUCCUUGAGACCAAGAUACAGGAAAAACAAAAAAAAACAAACAAAAAACGACUGGACUGGGUGCUUCCAAUGACAAUUAAAUCCUGAAAAGUGAAACUCUUAAACUGAGCAUCUGUGCUGGAAAAAACUGACAGGAGCAGUGUGUACUAACCACAUAGUGUGUGGAAAAGUACACCUGAAUGAAUUCUGCACAUUAGAAGAUGAUGCUGAAUGAAAGACCACAUUCAUCUGGCACACAGCCCAGGGAAGAACCUAUUAUUAAACAGUGUGGUAUCUGUCUGUGACACACUGUCUGUGGUAUCUGUCUAUGUUUGUUCUCGUGUGAGUAUGAAGUGGGCUUAUUUGAUGUACAAUUGGGUGACGUGAUUGUUGACUCAAGGAAAGUAGUAUCUUUACCAUUCAAUUUCUAACAGGAGCAAGACGGAAAUGAUUGAAAGGUUAUUACUAAAGAUUAGGGUACUAAGACUCAGACUGCAAGUAUGAACUCAGACGCACUCAAGUGGACUUAUUCUCAAACUUGAGAUGACUUUUUGGACAUAGUAAUAAUGAGACAUUAAUAAACAUCUCCCACUGAAACCCAUUAAUUAAGAACUAAGACUUGACAAUGUGGACUAGAUCUGACAUUAAUUAGAAUAUUACAGUGCCUUAUUUUAGUUG
ensembl:lncRNA